UGAGGAAUAUUGGUCAAUGGGCGCAAGCCUGAACCAGCCAAGUAGCGUGCAGGAAGACGGCCCUAUGGGUUGUAAACUGCUUUUAUACGAGAAUAAUUUGAUGCACGUGUGCGUUAUUGCAUGUAUCGUAUGAAUAAGGACCGGCUAAUUCCGUGCCAGCAGCCGCGGUAAUACGGAAGGUCCAGGCGUUAUCCGGAUUUAUUGGGUUUAAAGGGAGUGUAGGCGGUUUGUUAAGCGUGUUGUGAAAUUUAGGUGCUCAACAUUUAACUUGCAGCGCGAACUGUCAGACUUGAGUACACGCAACGUAUGCGGAAUUCAUGGUGUAGCGGUGAAAUGCUUAGAUAUCAUGAAGAACUCCGAUUGCGAAGGCAGCAUACGGGAGUGUAACUGACGCUUAAGCUCGAAGGUGCGGGUAUCGAACAGGAUUAGAUACCCUGGUAGUCCGCACAGUAAACGAUGGAUGCCCGCUGUUAGCGCCUGGCGUUAGCGGCUAAGCGAAAGCAUUAAGCAUCCCACCUGGGGAGUGCGCCGGCAACGGUG
rnacentral:rRNA from 1 species